rfam:Dipodomys ordii contig_34409, whole genome shotgun sequence.
GCCAGGCUCUGUGGUGCGCAUCUGUAAUCCCAGCUACUUGGAAGGUGAAGCCCCGGAGGAUCGCUUGAGUCCAGGAGUUCUGGGCUGCAGUGCACCAUGCCCAUUGUGUGUCCACACUAAAUUUGGCAUCAAUAUGGUGACCUCCCGGGAGCCGGGAACACCAGGUUGACUAUGGAGGGGUGAACUGGCCCAGGUCGGAAACAGAGCAGAUCAAAACUCCUGUGCUGAUCAGAAAUCACAGUGGCAAAAUAAUAUGAAAAUAAUUGUAGAUUACUCUUUCAAGAUAUUGGACCAAAAAAAGGGAAAUUAGUU